rnacentral:lncRNA from 1 species
GAUGCUAUGGCGGAAUUCAAAUGUGGCUACUGUGUAUAUUCUACCGAACUAUUUGAAUCUAUCAUAGGUCAUGCUGUUAAUAUUCACAAAGACAAAGAAAUAUCAUAUCUUAAAAAAAAAAAACAUUCAAAAACACAACUGAAUCCGAUCCGAUUCCCAAUAACGCCUGCAAAUGAAUACUUAAAUGGAAAAAUAAUAAUUCCAAACAAAGACAAAUGUACAGUUUCUAUUGUCUCCCGAACUUAGAAGAUAUCAACUGUAAACCUAAUAAAAAACUUAAAAAAAGUAAUAAAAAUAUAACUGAGCAGCCUCAGACCAUAGAUACAACCAAGUCAUAUACCACGAAUGAAAAAUGUUGUCAAACAG